rnacentral:rRNA from 1 species
UACGUAGGGGGCAAGCGUUGUCCGGAUUUAUUGGGCGUAAAGAGCGUGUAGGCGGCUAGGUAGGUCCGUUGUGAAAACUCGAGGCUCAACCUCGAGACGUCGAUGGAAACCAUCUAGCUAGAGUCCGGAAGAGGAGAGUGGAAUUCCUGGUGUAGCGGUGAAAUGCGCAGAUAUCAGGAGGAACACCUGCGGUGUAGACGGCUUACUGGACCAUAACUGACGCUGAGGCACGAAAGCGUGGGUAGCAAACAGG